ACUAAACUCACCCCACCUCCUUAUUUCCACUGCCGCCCUUGCUUGCACACAGCACACCCACACCUUGUUUUUCCCUUUCAGCAGCCGCCAAACCCCUCUCCAUUUCCUUUUUCCUAUACGUACACAAAACACACCGCAGAGAGGAAGGAGAGGGGGAAAAAGGGAAGGCGGCGUGGUGGGUGUUACUGUCACCAUGGCCGACGCUACUGACAGAGAAGGGAAGAGAUUCGAGAAGAAGAGAGAGCAUUGACGGGAGAAGAAGACCGCGUAGCUCGCCACCGCCUCGCCACGGUCGCUGUUUCUACGCCAUCGUGUCGCGAGCAGAGAGAAAGAUAAGAGAUCCGAGAGAAGGAGAGGAAGAGAAGCUGUGUUGCUUCCUCGCGCCAGUCACCACUGUUGUCGAUGAUGAAGCCCGUCGCCGCCAUCCGUGCUUCUAUCCCUGUCAGAACCGUACGCCGCCACUGGAAGGACCUUCAUCCCUGUUGUUAACACGAACGAGAGAGAAGGAAGACCGAGGAGGGAAGGGGCUGUUCCCUUCAUUGUCGAGCCACAGCCGCCACCGUCGAAGCUUUUGUCGCCGUCGUCAUUGUCGGGCCACCAUCGGAGGAGGUCUGUGCUGCUAGAGCUCAACGGAAGCCACUUGGAGUUGCUGUCACUCCUCCUGGUUCUGUUUGAAUCGCGUCACCACAUCUCUGGAUGCCAAGAACGGCGUCAUGGCCGCCGGCACCACCGCUUGAGCCGCUGCUUUUCAGUUCAGUGUUUCUCCUUAGUUGCGAGCUGCUACGGUUGCUGCGAAAGUGGAUUGGAAUUGAGGUUGUGGCUGCCGAGGUUACAGACCAAGAAGAAGGGGUUUUGACGCGCUGUAUAGCUUUCGGAUUUCAACGAGUUGAGGUUGAGACUCGAUACUCUAUUGACCCUAUGACAUAAGGAUGACCGGGCACGUAUAAAUUUCCGAGAAUAUAUAUAUAUAUAUAUAUAUAUAUAUAUAUGAGAAAAUGCUAUGCAUAGACUCAUGGGAAUGCGCGUCGGGGGACAGUCUAAAGGUUUAGCAAAUCGGACUUGUCAGGUUGGCUUGAUAACCGACAUAUGAGACUCAUCAGCCAUAGGAAAGGCAUUCAUCAUAUGCAUUUAUGUGACAUUGUUUGGGUGUGCAUAUUGUAUUUGGUUUGCCUAUAUGAAUAAUUCUGUCUAAUUGCUAAUUGCUCUACUUAAUGUAACUGUUUGAUUGUGCUUGAACAUCCCUACUUGUGUUUGUGACUAAAAUUGGUUGGAUUAUAGUAAAUUGGACAUUGAUUGAGCUGUUUAGACCUGAAGCCAUGUUUGGUUUGUGUUGUGGUUUAAUAAAGUAUGAAAUAUCAAGUUGGUUCAACAUAGACUUAAUGAACCCAUAUUUGGAAUAUGUUGGUCAUUCAUAUUGUUAGAAAACUUUUAAAAUCUUUUUAUCUAAAAAAUCACUUUCUAAUUUUUGGAUAAUUAACUAAUUUUCUUUAAAAUUCUUUUGAAUUUUUUGUGGUUAAACCAUUAGUUUUUAAAGGAUUCAUAAGACAACGAUAAUCACUGAGUUUGAAAAUGAUUUUCUUAUUAAAUAUCUUCUUAUGACAUUUCUGAAAACUCUGUGGUGAGACCGUGUGGUUAGGCUCUCAUCCCCUACAGCUUUAUCUUUUCAGGAGACGGAUGACGAGGCUUAUGAAGAGUUUUAUUGCGUUUUGUUUAUUCGAUGUUAUUAUUUUAGUUAUUACUAGUAUUUUUACCCGUAAUAAUAUUACGAAAUAAAAUUUUUUUAAAAUUACGGUCCACUUUGUUCUAAUAGUAUAGAUUAUGUAUGACACAAAAGAUUUAUAAAAUCAAACUAUUUUUACAAAAAAAAUUUGUAGGUUGACAAAAAUCUCUGACUAAAAAGAUCAUGAUCUCUAUAGAUAAAAAAUCAAAUAACAAAAAUUUUAGUUAUUAUUUUUAUAUGAAAAAGUCUAUUUUUUAUUUGAAUUAUAUUAUUUUGUUAAUUUUUUUUAGAAUAAAAAAGUAAAAAAAUAGAGAAUAAGAGAAAAGAGAGAGAAAUAUAAAGAUGAAAAAUAAGAGUGAGAGUGAAAAUUUGUUAAUUUAAAAAAAAAUAUUUUAAUUGUAAUAAAAAAAUAUCAGAUGACAUAUUUUGAUUUGUCAAAUUACUAAUAUAAAAUAUAAAUUAUAUAUAGAGUGAAAAUGGUAGAGAAAAAUAGAAAAUUGAGAGAGAUAGAUGAGAGAAUUUAGGAAAGGAGUUUAUUAAUUUUGGAGAAAAUAUUUUUUCUCAAUUUUAAUAAGAGAGUGUCAUGUGACACACUUGAUUAUUAAAUUAGAUUGUAAUAUAUGAUACAUAAUAUAGGUAUAUUUUAAUUUCAAUUUUAAUAUUUUAAUUUCAAUUUUAAUGCAAUUAAAGAAUGUCAUGUUUCACAUUUUGAUUGUCAAAUUGGUAAUUAGUCAUUGAUAUUGAUAAUGAUAUCUAAAAUAGAUAGAGUGGUUGAAUGAAUGAGAGAGAUAGAGAAAGGAAACAGGAGGAGGGAAGAACUCUUUAAUUUUGAAGAGAAAAAUUUGAUUUCAAUUGCAAUGAGGGAGUGACAUGUGGCAUAUUUUGGUUAUAAAAUUAGUAUAUAGAAGAAAAUAAUUCUCCUUAAUUUUGGAGAAAAAUAUUUAAUUUCAAUUAUAAUGAGAGAGUGACAUGUGGCACAUUUUGGUUGUAAAAUUAGUAAGGAGUAGAGGAGAAUUUCUUAAUUUUGGAGGGAAAUAUUUGAUUCCAAUUGCAAUGAGAAAGUGACAUGUGGCAUAUUUUUGUUGUAAAAUUAGAAAUAUAUAAUAUAUUU